GCCUGGGUGGCUCAGUCGGUUGAGCCUCCGACUUAGGUUCGGGUCAUGAUCUCACGGUUCGUGAGUUCGAGCCCCGCGUCGGGCU
rnacentral:tRNA from 1 species